AGAGUUUGAUCCUGGCUCAGGACGAACGCUGGCGGCGUGCCUAAUACAUGCAAGUCGAGCGAGCGGAACUAACAGAUUUACUUCGGUAAUGACGUUAGGAAAGCGAGCGGCGGAUGGGUGAGUAACACGUGGGGAACCUGCCCCAUAGUCUGGGAUACCACUUGGAAACAGGUGCUAAUACCUGAUAAGAAAGCAGAUCGCAUGAUCAGCUUUUAAAAGGCGGCGUAAGCUGUCGCUAUGGGAUGGCCCCGCGGUGCAUUAGCUAGUUGGUAAGGUAAAGGCUUACCAAGGCGAUGAUGCAUAGCCGAGUUGAGAGACUGAUCGGCCACAUUGGGACUGAGACACGGCCCAAACUCCUACGGGAGGCAGCAGUAGGGAAUCUUCCACAAUGGACGCAAGUCUGAUGGAGCAACGCCGCGUGAGUGAAGAAGGUUUUCGGAUCGUAAAGCUCUGUUGUUGGUGAAGAAGGAUAGAGGUAGUAACUGGCCUUUAUUUGACGGUAAUCAACCAGAAAGUCACGGCUAACUACGUGCCAGCAGCCGCGGUAAUACGUAGGUGGCAAGCGUUGUCCGGAUUUAUUGGGCGUAAAGCGAGCGCAGGCGGAAGAAUAAGUCUGAUGUGAAAGCCCUCGGCUUAACCGAGGAACUGCAUCGGAAACUGUUUUUCUUGAGUGCAGAAGAGGAGAGUGGAACUCCAUGUGUAGCGGUGGAAUGCGUAGAUAUAUGGAAGAACACCAGUGGCGAAGGCGGCUCUCUGGUCUGCAACUGACGCUGAGGCUCGAAAGCAUGGGUAGCGAACAGGAUUAGAUACCCUGGUAGUCCAUGCCGUAAACGAUGAGUGCUAAGUGUUGGGAGGUUUCCGCCUCUCAGUGCUGCAGCUAACGCAUUAAGCACUCCGCCUGGGGAGUACGACCGCAAGGUUGAAACUCAAAGGAAUUGACGGGGGCCCGCACAAGCGGUGGAGCAUGUGGUUUAAUUCGAAGCAACGCGAAGAACCUUACCAGGUCUUGACAUCUAGUGCCAUUUGUAGAGAUACAAAGUUCCCUUCGGGGACGCUAAGACAGGUGGUGCAUGGCUGUCGUCAGCUCGUGUCGUGAGAUGUUGGGUUAAGUCCCGCAACGAGCGCAACCCUUGUUAUUAGUUGCCAGCAUUAAGUUGGGCACUCUAAUGAGACUGCCGGUGACAAACCGGAGGAAGGUGGGGAUGACGUCAAGUCAUCAUGCCCCUUAUGACCUGGGCUACACACGUGCUACAAUGGGCAGUACAACGAGAAGCGAGCCUGCGAAGGCAAGCGAAUCUCUGAAAGCUGUUCUCAGUUCGGACUGCAGUCUGCAACUCGACUGCACGAAGCUGGAAUCGCUAGUAAUCGCGGAUCAGCACGCCGCGGUGAAUACGUUCCCGGGCCUUGUACACACCGCCCGUCACACCAUGGGAGUCUGCAAUGCCCAAAGCCGGUGGCCUAACCUUCGGGAAGGAGCCGUCUAAGGCAGGGCAGAUGACUGGGGUGAAGUCGUAACAAGGUAACC
rnacentral:rRNA from 1 species